CCUACGGGAGGCAGCAGUGUGGAAUAUUGCACAAUGGGGGAAACCCUGAUGCAGCGACGCCGCGUGAGCGAUGAAGUAUUUCGGUAUGUAAAGCUCUAUCAGCAGGGAAGAAAAUGACGGUACCUGACUAAGAAGCCCCGGCUCACUACGUGCCAGCAGCCGCGGUACUACGUAGGGGGCAAGCGUUAUCCGGAUUUACUGGGUGUAAAGGGAGCGUAUACGGCUUGGCAAGGCAGAUGGGAAAGGCUGGGGCUCAACCCCAGGACUGCAUUUGGAACUGUCAUGCUAGAGUGUCGGAGAGGCAGGCGGAAUUCGUAGUGUAGCGGUGAAAUGCGUAGAUAGUAGGAGGAACACCAGUGGCGAAGGCAGCCUGCUGGACGAUGACUGACGUUGAGGCACGAAAGCGUGGGGAGCAAACAGGAUUAGAUACCCCAGUAGUC
rnacentral:rRNA from 1 species